CCUGACCUCAGGUGAUCCAUCUGCCUCGCCCUCCCAAAGUGCUGGUAUUACAGGUGUGAGCCACCGCACCUGGACCCAUCUCUCCUUCUUAGCUCUUGUUUUGGAACUGGGCCUUUGACUUGGCCUCUCUUUUUGAGUUUUAUGCCCAGUUAGCAUUUCCUUGGGUAAGCCUCUCCCCAACUCUCUCCUCUCUAGCAGUUAAAAUGUGACUGGCAUCUUCUUUCUAAAAACUGCAGUGAAUUUUUUAUGGUGCUUACCCAAGGAAAUGCAACUAGUGUUUAGCAAUAACAGAACUUUGUGAGUUUAUCAGCAUAUUUUUUGAGGAGUUGUACAAAUGAUUACUCAUUUCUAGAGGGUCUGCUCCCUUUACAUGAAGUGCACUAGAAAAUGAAGGUUUCAAUUUACUGCCAGUUUAUUAACCAGGGAAGUAGUUGCUGGGAGUCUGCUGUCAAACUGUAGAAGCAACGUGGGAGAAGUUCUGCUGAAUGGCAAAAUAGCCUCGCCCUGUGUCCCUGGAGGUCAGACCUUCAGCCUCUACCCUGGGAUCAACAUUUACUGCCCAGCUCCCUUAAGUCCCUGCCUCAGGAGGCACUGAUGGGGUAGUAGAUCCCCCUGGGCAGGGAUAAGUUAACAGCAAAUCCAGCAGCUGUGAUCUUUUUUGUGUUUCUGAUGUCAAUCAUAAUCAUUUGCAUAUUUAAAGGGAAGUUUAAAAAAAUUACAGCCAUCAAGGUCUUUCAAUACUCAGUAACAUUUGAAUAGUGUUUUACAGUUUAGAAAACAUGCCCAUAUGUGGGAGCUCACAAAUCUAUGUGGUGCAGAUGUUAUUAUUAUUGUCCUCAUUUUCCAGAUAAGAAAAUUAAUUCAGAGAGAUUAAGUGACUCCCCCAAGACCACCCAGCUGGUAAGCACUAGAGCCAGGAUGUCAACCGUGGGUCUUUUUACUCUAAAUCCACAUUACUGUCAUGCACAUGAAUGAAUGAGAUGGUCCAGUAUUGCACAGAAGAAUAGAAUUGGAAGGUACUUGCUCAGGUCACCUGGUGUAAGUCACCUGCUUAUAGUAAUGCCUUGGCACACCUACCUUUUUUUUUUUUUUUUUGAGACAAUCUUACUCUGUCACCCAGGCUAGAGUGCAGUGGCAUGAUCUUGGUUCACUGCAAUUUCUGCCUCCCAGGUUCAAGCGAUUCUCAUGCCUCAGCCUCCUGAGUGGCUGGGACUACAGGUGUGCACCACCAAGCCUGGCUAAUUUUUUUUGUACUUUUUUUUUUAGUAGAGAUGGGGUUUCGCCAUGUUGGCCAGGCUGGUCUUGAAUUCCUGGCCUCAAGCGAUCCACCUGCCUUGGUCUCCCAAAGUGCUGGGAUUACAGCCGUGAGCCACCACACCCGGCCUCCCACACCUACUUUUUUAUAGAUGAAGGAACCAAAACCCAGGAAUUUAAGAGGCUCCUGCCAAAGACCCUUCUCAACAAUAUUCUUAGAAAUUUUCAGUUCUCCCUGAGAUUCACGGUCUUGACUAAAACUUACAAAUGAAUAUCUCCUAUAGGAGAGCUAUAAAGGGUACCCUAAUUAGAGAAUUUGCUAAUAAAGAUUCCUUGCUUACCUAUACAGAAGUUCUUGUUCUCUUUGGCCAGGCUACCAGUCAGAUCUGCAGAUGCAGAAUCUCUCACUUUCCUUAUUAGCAUCUGCCAGUCCAGCUCUUUGGAAAGGGAAGGGAAGCGAGUGGCCUGGCCAGCUCCGUUCCCCUGAGCCUGCUCCUGGAAUGAAGGGGUGGAGGUGGGGCCAGGAAGGUUGGGAAGAUUCGGGUUCAGAAGGGCCUUAAUGAGGACCAGCUGGGUUCCCAGCUAUCUUAAGCUCUGUAGGGAAUUCGGAGGUAGAAAAGCCGACUGUCUUAUUGGAGAAAUGAGACUUAUUUGCAAUAAAUUACUAGUAGCCAGCCAGGCAGAGAGCUGAGUGGGGAGGUAGUAAUUGCUCAGGGAGUUCCAAGAGCCUGUUGUUACAGAAGUCAGAGUAAUUCUGUAUGUGGGAAACCUCUGCCUUCCUCCGGUAGGAUUCAGCAUCCCACCUGCUUGGGCAGAGCUUUCGAGCCUCCUGAGAUGUUCCAAGAGGGUCAUUCCUGGCUGCCAUGAUGGGUGCAGAUCCCUUCCCUCUUCUUCUGUGUGCUUGUGGGGUCUCAAGGAUGCUAGAGGGUUCAGCAUCCCUCUAGCAUCAGAUUCAGGUUCUCCCCUCCUGACACCUUCUGUGGAGUCGUGCUUUUCCUAAAAGGGUUUCUGGGAACAAGGGGCGGCCCUGCCAUUCCUCAGGAACAUUUCUCAGGCUCUUUCUUAUAUUUUCUUUUUGGAGGUGCUUGGCUCACCCACAAUAGGACAAAACUGGAAAUGCUAUAAAUGCUUAGAACUGGUUUGGUAGCUGUCAGAUGUUUUCCCAAGUCCCUCUGAUGCUUCUUCUCUCCUCUCUACUCUGCCGUCUCCUGGCCAUGCUCUCAGGACCCUCUUGCUGCUCCACAGCUACUCAAAGGAAAACCUACCUUCACCUGCCCCCACUUUCCAGUCCAGCAUCCUGGGCCUGAGCCCCAUCUAUACCUCCCUAGCAGACAUGCUGCAGUGAACACUCAGGGUGUGCCGCACCCUCAGGACUCUGUUUCCUACUAAACUAAUCAGAGCCAGGUGUUGUUAAUGACUUUUUCAACUGUGUGUUAAAUCCCUCCACCUCUAGGCAGGUUCGUAAGGAAGUAGGUAGGCAGCAGCUUCCUACUCCUGAGGGCUGAGGCUGGUCUCUCUCAUACAUUCAAGGCUGGGAAAGAGAGAGGCCAAGCAGGCCUGCCUGCUCGGAGUCUCCCCAGGGUGGAGCACUCCAGGGGGAUCUGUGGAGGCUUUCACCUGGAGGUGGUGCUGGAGGGAACCAAGCUGGGGAAUCAAACAGAAUGGAGAGAGAAAUCGUGGCUGCAGAGGCACAGAGUCCUUGCUACUUAGCCUCUCCCAGAACAGCACGUGGGCUCCAGGAAGGCAGAGACUUGCAAAAGGCUGGCAUCAUCUCGGAGCUUUCUCCCUUCCAAGGAACCUCUGGCUGUGACAUCUGAUAGUAGGAAACAAUGGUUCUAGAUGCAGAGUCCCAUCACAUCCCACGUGGGAAUGUGCUGCUCGAGCAGGUGACUCAGUCUCCCUGGAUUUUGGUCUCUCAUCUGUCAACUUAGAAGUCUGGGCAAGAUGGUCUCCACGGGAUCUGCCUUGUUAGACCAGCUUUAACUCAAACUUCUUUUGCCUCUUGAGAUGUCUGCCCACCACUUCCAGUUUGGAUAACCUUUAGGAGCAGCCUGUUCCCUGGGACAGAUCUACAGAAGUCAGCUUGCUAUAGCUUCACAGCACUGCAAGGCUGCCGUCCCUGGGAGCCCUCUGGGUCCAUGGGAGCAAUAGAAACUGGGCAAAAGACUUGGAAGGCAGCUUUCGCCAUGUUGCUGUACCUAGCAUUUGUACCCUGGGCAAGGAUUCAAGGAAAGGUUGAGCCCCUCAAUCUGGCAGUUUUUUAGGUGCUCUCCAGCUCACUUUCUGAUACCCCAGGCUCUGUCUGAAGCCUCAUGGGCCCCAGCUCCGCAAAGGCAGCCAAAGGAAUUUCCUCUCUACCACGAAGACCGUGAACGCUUUCCUUCUUUCUGUUUUCCUUGACAGCUCCUAAGCUGGCCAUGAGGACCCACUCCUUCCUCCAGCCUUUCUUCAUGCCUAGAAUAGUGAGGAAAGUUGUGGGUUAGCAGAACCGCUAGAAAACAUCUGGGAUCCAAACCCUGCUCUGGACCCAGCCACAUGCCAGGCUCAGGGAGGGAGGAUCGGUUUUCCCACAGCCCCUCUGUUAGGGUGACCCAUCUUCCAAGUUGGCCCAGGACUGUCCUGGUUUUAGCACUGAAAAGCUUAUGUCCUGGGAAACUUUUCAGUCCUGGACAAACUAGGACAGUGGCUCACCCUAAGUCUAAUGCAUCUCUUCUGUAUAAAUGGAGUUCUGCAAAAUUCAGUGCAUCCCCGAAUCCUACUAUCCUUCCUCAGUUUGAGGAAGCACUCCCUGGUGCACAGAGUUGGAGGAGGAAGGUCCUGGGAAUUCUCAAGGUCUGAACUGUUUUGCAAAGGCUGUGACACCAGCAGAUGCUGCCUUGCCCUGGAGGCCCUUAAGGAGAGAGCCCCUCCUUCCUCAGGGCCUGCAGCUUCCCUGGUUGCCACUUCCCUGUGGUAGCUUCUGAGCCUGCAGCCAGGGCAGCCCUCCCUCACCUUACCUAAUGUUUUGCGCAAACAGCCUGGCCCUCCUAGGCCCAGAACUUCUCUGGCAAUUUGCGGGAGGCUAGGAAGGUGAGUCAGGUGUAGUGUUACUCCGGCAAGCCAUGCAUAUCGAUGUCCCAGUUUCCCCUGGUCACUCUGAUUUCUGGUUCCUAGAGCCCGGUGCGGGCUCAGCAUGUUAUAGGUGCUGGCUUCGAGUGGUUGAGCCCACUCAGGAGGAGGAAGAGAAGGGCCUGCCGCCCGUACGGGAGCUGGAUGGGCUUCUUCUCCUGGCCUCUGCCUUCCAAAGAUCAUCAGAGAGGAGCAAAGAAGAGACUGCCAGACUGCCAGAGCCCACAGGGAUUUUGUGGGGUUUGUUUUUCCUCAGCAGUCCCUGCAGAGGUGAGGACAUGAAUAAAAGAAUGAGGGAAGAUUUAUUGUUCUCACUUCUUGGCAGUGAGCCUGUAUUUGUAUAGUGGAUCCAGGAGGGGGCUGGAACAGUUGAGAGGACUGCUGAGGCCCAGGCAGAAAGUCAGACCUUGCAAAGUUUUCUGGAGGGACCCAGGUGGGUGGUGGAGGGCGAAGGUGAGGCUGGGAGGAGUGGAUUUAGACCAACUCCUCCCCAACCAUCAGGGGCCAGAGUGUCCCCACCAGCCACCAGCCUUUUCCCACAUGAGGUGGGACAGUGAACAAAGUUUUGGGCUAGCAGAACCAUCGGCAGGCAGCUGGGGUCCAAGUAUCUCCAAACCCAGCGGCACAUGGUGGGCCCGACAGGGUGUGUUACCAGUGAGGAUCCCAGAAGAAAGGGCUCCAGCUGAGCUCGUCUGUCACUCCUGCUCCUGAUAAUGGACGCAAUCCAGAAAUAACUUUUAUCACGGCCUAGCCUGCCUGGGUGGGCCUGGGUGGUGGCUGAGACUUGGAACCUUGCAGCUGAAGAUGACAUUGCAGCUGUACCUACCCAUGGAGGCUGGGGACAAGAGCCAAUCAUCAUGGAGCUUUCUACUGACUUGGCCACCUGCAAGACCCGCUGCAAUAUGAUGGAGCCUCUCUCUGUUGCCCAGGCUGGAGUGCAGUGGCGCCAUCUUGGCUUCAGUGGACCCGGAGAGAAGGCCAGACUGGCCGGAAUGGCUGAUAAGGGAGGUAAGUGGUGACAGAGCAGGCUCCAUGCAUUUUGCUUAGAGAAUACACCCCAUGAGAGUACCUUCUUCAGAAAAUAACCAUUGGGGGUGAUCUUUAGAGACUUGAAACCUCCUGGGAAGAACCAUGGUCUGACCCAAUAUGCCAUCCCUUCUAGGCCUAGGUUGUGGUAGAUUGGAAAGCAAGAUGGAAGGGCAUAGGUAAGUAAAUAAACUUUGGAACAAGACCAGCCUGGGUUUGAAUCUCAGCUCUGCUGUUUACUAGCUAUGCAUUU